AGAGUUAAACAGUACGUGAAAUUGUUGAAAGGGAAACGAUUGAAGUCAGUCGUACCGAUGGGCACUCGGCCUCUCGGGUGGGAUCGUGUCAGAUGUGGGAAGAUCUCACUUUGCCACUGUUCCUGCCUCUGGGGUGUAAUUGUCCGUAUGGUAGGUUAACAUCAAUUUUGGUCAUCAUAAAAUGACGGGAGGAAUGUAGCUUCGAUCUCGUAUUGAAGUGUUAUAGCCCGUGGUAGAUGACGUAACUAAGAUCGAGGAUUGCAGCGAAUGCUUUUGGCUACGUGUCUGGUCUCUGAAGAAUUGUCAAUUGGUCGAUAGCUUGCUAACGUAUCGGUUGAUGAUUUUCAAAAGGUCCAGAACGCGUUAAAUUCGCUAAGGAUGCUGACGUAAUGGCUUUAAACGACC
rnacentral:rRNA from 1 species